UAGGCGAGUGAGUCUGUCACAGAGACCUC
rnacentral:piRNA from 1 species